AACGAACGCUGGCGGCAUGCCUAACACAUGCAAGUCGAACGAACCCUUCGGGUCUUGUGUCGCACGGCUUCGUAACGCGUGGGAACCUGCCCUUAGGUUCAGAAUAACUCUCCGAAAGGGGUACUAAUACCGGAUAGUGUCUUCGGACCAAGGAUUUAUUGCAUUUGGAUGGUCCCGCGUUGCAUUAGCUAUUUGGUAGGGUAAAAGCCUACCAAGGCGACGAUCCACAGCUGGUUUGAGAGGAUGAUCAGCCACACUGGGACUGAGACACGGCCCAGAAUCCUCCGGGAGGGAGGAGUGGGUAAUAUUGGACAACGGGGUGAAGCAUGAUCCAGCAAUGCCGCGUGAGUGAUGAAGGCCUUAGGGUUGUAAAGCUCAUUUAACCGGGCUGAUAAUGACAGUACCGGGAGAAUAAGCUCCGGCUAACUACGUG
rnacentral:rRNA from 1 species